AUUCAAAUAAAAAUAAAUCUGAGGGGGGAUGGAAAAGACCAUGUGUGUGUCCCCAAGGCUAGUUCUUUCCCUAGGUCUUGUUUUACAAAUUCUGGUAAUAAAC
ensembl:snoRNA SNORA72 Small nucleolar RNA SNORA72